rnacentral:rRNA from 1 species
AAUGAACGUUGGCGGCGUGGAUUAGGCAUGCAAGUCGAGCGCGAACCCCGCAAGGGGUGAAAGCGGCGAAAGGGAGAGUAACGCGUGGGUAUCUGCCCUCGGGACUGGGAUAGCUGCGGGAAACUGCAGGUAAUACCAGAUGACGUCCCCGGACCAAAGGUGUGAUUCCGCCUGAGGAUGAGCCCGCGUCCUAUUAGCUAGUUGGUAGGGUAAUGGCCUACCAAGGCAAUGAUGGGUACUGGGUGUGAGAGCACGACCCAGCUCACUGGGACUGAGACACUGCCCAGACAGCUAAGGGUGGCUGCAGUCGAGAAUCUUGGGCAAUGGGCGAAAGCCUGACCGAGCGACGCCGCGGGUGGGAUGAAGGCCUUCGGGUUGUAAACCGCUGUCAGAGGGGAGGAAUGGGCGGAGGGUAAUCUCUUCGUUUUGACCUAUCCUCAGAGGAAGUACGGGCUAAGUUCGUGCCAGCCGCCGCCGUAA